GAGUUUGAUCGUGGCUCAGGAUGAACGCUGGCGGCGUGCUUAACACAUGCAAGUCGAGCGAAGCACUUAAACGGAUUUCUUCGGAUUGAAGUUUUGUGACUGAGCGGCGGACGGGUGAGUAACGCGUGGGUAACCUGCCUCAUACAGGGGGAUAACAGUUGGAAACGGCUGCUAAUACCGCAUAAGCGCACAGCACCGCAUGGUGCAGUGUGAAAAACUCCGGUGGUGUGAGAUGGAUCCGCGUCUGAUUAG
rnacentral:rRNA from 1 species